GAUGAAGAACGCAGCGAAAUGCGAUAAGUAAUGUGAAUUGCAGAAUUCAGUGAAUCAUCGAAUCUUUGAACGCGCAUUGCGACCCUUGGUAUUCCGAGGGGCAUGCCCGUUCGAGCGUCAUUAUACCCCUCAAGCCUAGCUUGGUGUUGGGGCCUGCUGUUACCGGCAGCCCUUAAAAUCAGUGGCGGUGCCAUCUGGCUCUAAGCGUAGUAAUACUUCUCGCUACAGGGUCCCGGUGGAUGCUUGCCAUCAACCCCUAAUUUUCUAUGGUUGACCUCGGAUCGGGUAGGGAUACCCGCUGAACUUAAGCAUAUCAAUAAGCGGAGGA
rnacentral:misc_RNA from 1 species